rnacentral:lncRNA from 1 species
AAAGAUUACGUAGAAGAGUUUGGAAAGUGUGUUAUAUACAAGUCAAGAUCCAAAUAUGAGAUUUAUUUUCUCAGUUGUAUUGUGGAUUGGUGAUUGUAUGAACUCUUGGAAAUAUUUAUCAAAUAACAAGGAACUAUGUAGGUUCCAAUGUCAAACUAUUCAAGAGUGCACAUAGGCAAAGCAAGGACGAGCGUUGAAGCACUAUAAAUCUCGGUGUCAUCUCUCUCUCUCUCUCUCUCUCUCUCUCUCCCUCCCUCCCUCUCUCUCUCUCUCUCUCUCUCUCUCUCUCUCUCUCU